UCUAGCCCAUACUCUUUGCCAGCUUCCAAGUAACAAAUAAUCCCUACAGACAUGCAGUAAAAAAACAAUGUUGCUAGUAUUUCUACCAUGCGUCUCAAAUUCGCGAAUAUAAAGAGAUGAAGUAUUAUCCAAAACGCAAAAUACGCGCAUUGAUUUAUGGAUUUCUAUUUUGAAUUAUAAUUUUACCAUUCUGUUAGACACAUCAAAAAGUCCCAUUUCCUUUAAAUUUAGUGUAGAACUGAUCAUAAAAUGAUUCCCGAUAGUCUCUACAUACAAAUACAUGAAGGACUUUAAAAAUAUCGUAAAAAAAAUAAAAUUUGACAAAUUAUUACGCAUGAUUUAUUACCAUUACUGAUAAAUCGCUUGUAUUUUAUAGUUUUUCUUUUUAAUUGAUUAACGCAUGUAAUACAUUAACACUACUGAAAAAUCCGAAUUUCUGUCAUAACCGCGGUCGCGCUGAGUGAUCUUUGUCCCCAGAAACCAUGCAUUUCUUAUAGGACGACAAAUAAGUGCGACCGCGAAGGGUUCACAUUAUGUGAUUUAUCACAGAAUAAUUUUCGAUUUGGACGGAUUCGGCCAUGCAAUCGCGCAUCGGCAUUAUUUUUGCAGCUAAAGCAACAAGCUAUACAAGGAUAAGUAAUGAAAGGUACUCAUUUCUUCAAGUACAAAACACACAACACGAUGGAGGACCUUUCAAUUAAAAUCAGGUCAUUCGCUGUUGCGGUUGCAAACGGUGCGAAGCUGGGCCCGAACGGCUUCACUGCCGGCCAACCGGCAUCGUGGACAGGUGGUGACAGAAAUGCGAUAUAAUAAUGACAACCGAUCUUUUAAGAAAGGAUCAGUGGUGACUUCGCUGGGGAAACAUGGCCAUAUAAAAGUAUAGCUGCGCGCUUGCUUAAUCACUUUCCCUGUCUGGCAGCCGAUCCCUAUUCUUUUGAUCAUCCGACAGAGAGAUGACUCUGUACGACUAGCUCUGUCUUUCAGUAGUUGACUAAUACAACUUCAACUAUAGCGUACGAACUUCAAUUCCAUUGGUAAACAUUUGAUUGAACCAUUGUUUGUACGUAUUAAACACAGAAAUUGAUUAGUCUAGAAGCAUUUCUCACGUAGUGGGAUUUGGUUAAAGUAUUUAGAAUGAGAAUAAGAAAAAUGCAUAAUGCAUGUAAUAGUUGGGAGCAUUAAUUUUUCGCAUAUUUAUUCGUGACAAGGUUAUCGAUUUGACAUAUUAUGCUUAAUAAUUUUAUUUACAAAACAGUCAUCUGAUACAUGCACUAAUAAAUUUGUCUUACCUCGAAAAUCAACUAUUUACAUUUAUUGAGUAAUGGAACAAAUUCUCAGUGCACAAGCACCCGAGAUGGAUUCUCAAACUGAGUUUAUAUAUAUCCGGACAAAAUCAAUAUUCUGAUAUUUUUCCCACAGUUAAAUAAUUCUAUAACGUUGUAUUGAAAUUUCUCAGUAAUCGAGUAAUGAAAGUGGUAAUUUUGUAUAACCAGCUUUUCAUCUUCUGGGCAAAGAGAUGUGUGAAAUGUUCAGGUUGAAUAACAUUACACUGAGUUUAUUUCUGUCUCAUGUCCACCUAUGAAUUUCCACAAUUCUCAUGUAAUUGGAUAACAGCAAUGCUAAUCGAGUUAGAAGUAGCAGCAAAUCUGUUUUCUUUUAAUAUUUUUGAAAACAGGAUUGAGUCAAGAAAAGUCUGACUCUUAAAGUUUGUCUGUUAUUAUUAUUCCACAUAUAUUCUGCCCGUCAUGGUAACAAACUGUUAUAAAUUGACAAUGACUCAAUAAUUGGAUUUGUCAUGUGGAAGUUGAGAUUGCACAAGGUAGUCAUCGUCAUAAACUGUCAAUGAUGUUGCCACUGAUAUUUAGUUACUUGUGCUUUCAUCUAUAAACUAAAUACACCGUCGAUAGUUAACUAACUGUGAAUUAAUACAUCAUACGUCACAAUAAACUACUUUUAAGAUUUCUAUCCGUAGUAAAUGUUACAGAUAAAGUAAAUAUAUGUACAUUCGGGUGUGUUGUUAUAAAUCCAAAUUUUUUUCUCGAACUCUGAUGAAAAACAGGUUUAGAAUAGGACAAUUAACAAAUUCUCCCAUAACUGGGUGCUGACAAUUAAUAUAUAUACGAUACUUAAUGUGUUUCAGAUGCCUCAGUCUGGU